GUGUCAGCCGCCGCGGUAAGACGAACUGUGCGAACGUUAUUCGGAAUCACUGGGCUUACAGGGUGCGUAGGCGGCCUGUUAAGUAGGGUGUGAAAUCCCCCGGCCCAACCGGGGAAUUGCGCUCUAAACUAGCAGGCUUGAGUAAGCUAGGGGUGCACGGAACUUCCAGUGGAGCGGUGAAAUGUGUUGAUAUUGGAAGGAACACCGGAGGCGAAAGCGGUGCACUGGGGCUUAACUGACGCUGAGGCACGAAAGCCAGGGGAGCGAACGGGAUUAGAUACCCCGGUAGUCCUGGCCGUAAACGAUGAGCACUAGGCGGGAGAGGGUUCGCCCUUUCCGGCCGUAGCGAAAGCGUUAAGCACACCGCCUGGGGAGUACGGUCGCAAGAUUAAAACUUAAAUGAAUUGGCGGGG
rnacentral:rRNA from 1 species